UGGGGAAUAUUGCACAAUGGGCGCAAGUCUGAUGCAGCCAUGCCGCGUGUGUGAAGAAGGCCUUCGGGUUGUAAAGCACUUUCAGCGGGGAGGAAGGCGGUGAGGUUAAUAACCUCACCGAUUGACGUUACCCGCAGAAGAAGCACCGGCUAACUCCGUGCCAGCAGCCGCGGUAAUACGGAGGGUGCAAGCGUUAAUCGGAAUUACUGGGCGUAAAGCGCACGCAGGCGGUCUGUCAAGUCGGAUGUGAAAUCCCCGGGCUCAACCUGGGAACUGCAUUCGAAACUGGCAGGCUAGAGUCUUGUAGAGGGGGGUAGAAUUCCAGGUGUAGCGGUGAAAUGCGUAGAGAUCUGGAGGAAUACCGGUGGCGAAGGCGGCCCCCUGGACAAAGACUGACGCUCAGGUGCGAAAGCGUGGGGAGCAAACAGG
rnacentral:rRNA from 1 species